GACAGAGGGUGCAAGCGUUGUUCGGAAUCAUUGGGCGUAAAGCGCGCGUAGGUGGCCUAUUAAGUUGAAUGUGAAAUCCCUGAGCUCAACUCAGGAAGUGCAUUCAAAACUGCUAAGCUUGAGUCCUGGAGAGGGUGGUGGAAUUCCCAGUGUAGAAGUGAAAUUCGUAGAUAUUGGGAGGAACACCAGUGGCGAAGGCGACCACCUGGACAGAGACUGACACUGAGGCGCGAAAGCGUGGGGAGCAAACAGG
rnacentral:rRNA from 1 species